rnacentral:rRNA from 1 species
AUUAACGCUAGCGGCAGGCAUAAUACAUGCAAGUUGAACGGCAGCACAGGUAGCAAUACCGGGUGGCGAGUGGCGCACGGGUGCGUAACACGUAUGCAACCUACCCUAUACAGGCGAAUAACCUUUAGAAAUGAGGGCUAAUACGCUGUGGUAUUAUCUUGGGGCAUCUUGAGAUAAUUAAAGAUUUAUCGGUAUAGGAUGGGCAUGCGUCCCAUUAGUUAGUUGGUAGGGUAACGGCCUACCAAGGCUAUGAUGGGUAGGGG